rnacentral:lncRNA from 1 species
AAAACAUCUUGUACAUAUUCUCUGUUCUCAAUAUUCUUGACAAUUCUGAGAUGUUGAGGUGGUUAUGUUAUGAAAAGUUAGAUGGAGGAUGUAUUUAUACCCUUCGGAAUAGAAGAGAUGACGAGGGAAUGCAGCUACAAUUUCUAAGGCACAUGUCAAUGUGUCAAAAGAAAAUGCAAAGCAUAAUAUUAAGUUUAAUGAUUGUUGUGAGGAAACCCCUAAUCAUGCAUGACCAUUUGAGAUCAAGUCGUUCACACUACAUCCGUCAAAUUAAACCACGCUACUGUUUCAUUGUUCUAACUUCUUAUUUAUAAUAAUGCAUGCUAUGACUUUCGGCCCAUUUU